rnacentral:rRNA from 1 species
UCGAGAAUCUUCGGGAAUGGGCGAAAGCCUGACCGAGCGAUGCCGCGUGCGGGAUGAAGGCCUUCGGGUUGUAAACCGCUGUCGUAGGGGAGAAAGGGUCGUUGAAGAAACGACUUUGAUCUAUCCUAGGAGGAAGUCCGGGCUAAGUUCGUGCCAGCAGCCGCGGUAACACGAACCGGACAAACGUUAUUCGGAAUUACUGGGCUUAAAGGGUGCGUAGGCGGUGCGGUAAGUGCGGUGUGAAAUCCCACGGCUCAACCGUGGAAUUGCGCUGCAUACUGCCGUGCUAGAGGGAGACAGGGGUAAGCGGAACUGAUGGUGGAGCGGUGAAAUGCGUUGAUAUCAUCAGGAACACCGGUGGCGAAAGCGGCUUACUGGGUCUCUUCUGACGCUGAGGCACGAAAGCUAGGGUAGCGAACGGGAUUAGAUACCCGGGUAGUCCCUGAGCGGGCUGGCAAGGCGCAU